UACAGAGGUCCCAAGCGUUGUUCGGAUUCACUGGGCGUAAAGGGUGCGUAGGCGGUCGGGUAAGUCUGAUGUGAAAUCUCACAGCUUAACUGUGAAACUGCAUUGGAUACUAUCCGGCUAGAGGAAUGGAGGGGAGACUGGAAUACUUGGUGUAGCAGUGAAAUGCGUAGAUAUCGAGAGGAACACCAGUGGCGAAGGCGAGUCCCUGGACAGGUCCUGACGCUGAGGCACGAAAGCUAGGGGAGCAAACAGG
rnacentral:rRNA from 1 species